rnacentral:rRNA from 1 species
GACGAACGCUGGCGGCGUGCUUAACACAUGCAAGUCGAGCGGUAAGGCCCGUUUCGGGGGUACACGAGCGGCGAACGGGUGAGUAACACGUGGGUGACCUGCCCUCAGCUCUGGGAUAAGCCUGGGAAACCGGGUCUAAUACCGGAUAUGACUCCAUGACGCAUGUUGUGGGGUGGAAAGCCUUGUGCGGCUGAGGAUGGGCCCGCGGCCUAUCAGCUUGUUGGUGGGGUGAUGGCCUACCAAGGCGACGACGGGUAG